rnacentral:rRNA from 1 species
ACGCUGGCGGCACGCCUAACACAUGCAAGUCGAACGAAGUAGCAAUACUUAGUGGCAGACGGGUGAGUAACAUGUAGGUAUCUGCCCUUUGGCCUGGAAUAACACGAGGAAACUUGUGCUAAUACCGGAUAAGUCUUUACGGAGAAAGCUUUAUGCACCAUUGGAUGAGCCUGCACUUGAUUAGUUUGUUGGUGGGGUAAUGGCCUACCAAGACUUUGAUCAAUAGCUGAUUUGAGAGGAUGAUCAGCCACAUUGGGACUGAGACACGGCCCAAACUCCUACGGGAGGCAGCAGUGGGGAAUCUUGCACAAUGGAGGAAACUCUGAUGCAGCGAUGCCGCGUGAGUGAAGAAGGCCUUUGGGUUGUAAAGCUCUUUCGUCGGGGAAGAAAAUGACUGUACCCGAAUAAGAAGGUCCGGCUAACUUCGUGCCAGCAGCCGCGGUAAUACGAAGGGACCUAGCGUAGUUCGGAAUUACUGGGCUUAAAGAGUUCGUAGGUGGUUGAAAAAGUUGGUGGUGAAAUCCCAGAGCUUAACUCUGGAACUGCCAUCAAAACUUUUCAGCUAGAGUUUGAUAGAGGAAAGCAGAAUUUCUAGUGUAGAGGUGAAAUUCGUAGAUAUUAGAAAGAAUACCAAUUGCGAAGGCAGCUUUCUGGAUCAUUACUGACACUGAGGAACGAAAGCAUGGGUAGCGAAGAGGAUUAGAUACCCUCGUAGUCCAUGCCGUAAACGAUGUGUGUUAGACGUUGGAAAUUUAUUUUCAGUGUCGCAGCGAAAGCGAUAAACACACCGCCUGGGGAGUACGACCGCAAGGUUAAAACUCAAAUGAAUUGACGGGGACCCGCACAAGUAGUGGAGCAUGUGGUUUAAUUCGAAGAUACGCGCAGAACCUUACCAACACUUGACAUGUUCGUCGCGACUUUAAGAGAUUAAAGUUUUCGGUUCGGCCGGACGAAACACAGGUGCUGCAUGGCUGUCGUCAGCUCGUGUCGUGAGAUGUUGGGUUAAGUCCCGCAACGAGCGCAACCCUCACUUUUAGUUGCCAUCAUUUAGUUGGGCACUCUGAAAGAACUGCCAGUGAUAAGCUGGAGGAAGGUGGGGAUGACGUCAAGUCCUCAUGGCCCUUACGUGUUGGGCUACACACGUGCUACAAUGGUAUCUACAACAGGAAGCAAAACGGCGACGUUAAGCAAAUCCUCAAAAGAUACCUCAGUUCGGAUUGCACUCUGCAACUCGAGUGCAUGAAGCUGGAAUUACUAGUAAUCGUGGAUCAGCGUGCCACGGUGAAUGCGUUCCCGGGUCUUGUACACACCGCCCGUCACACCAUGGGAGUUGGUUCUACCUUAAGGCAAGGUUUUAAACCCUUGACCACGGUAUAGUCAGCGACUGGGGUGAAGUCAUAACAAGGUAACCGUA